rnacentral:rRNA from 1 species
CCUACGGGUGGCAGCAGUGAGGAAUAUUGGUCAAUGGACGCAUGUCUGAACCAGCCAUGCCGCGUGCAGGAAGACGGCUCUAUGAGUUGUAAACUGCUUUUGUACGAGGGUAAACGCAGAUACGCGUAUCUGUCUGCAAGUAUCGUACGAAUAAGGAUCGGCUAACUCCGUGCCAGCAGCCACGGUAAUACGGAGGAUUCAAGCGUUAUCCGGAUUUAUUGGGUUUAAAGGGUGCGUAGGCGGUCGGAUAAGUUAGAGGUGAAAUCCCGAGGCUCAACUUCGGAAUUGCCUCUGAUACUGUUCGGCUAGAGAGUAGUAGCGGUAGGCGGAAUGUAUGGUGUAGCGGUGAAAUGCUUAGAUAUCACGCAGAACCCCGAUUGCGAAGGCAGCAUGCCGGCUUCCGACUGACGCUGAAGCACGAAAGCGUGGGGAGCGAACAGGAUUAGAUACCCCAGUAGUC